GGUCUAGUAUCCGAGACCUUAAAGGCGGAUUAUUCACGGGGCGCUGGUUAAAGCCCUAAAACAACCUA
ncrna:unclassified sequences GP20-b RNA